rnacentral:rRNA from 1 species
UUAAGCGACUAAGCGUACACGGUGGAUGCCCUGGCAGUCAGAGGCGAUGAAGGACGUGCUAAUCUGCGAUAAGCGUCGGUAAGGUGAUAUGAACCGUUAUAACCGGCGAUUUCCGAAUGGGGAAACCCAGUGUGUUUCGACACACUAUCAUUAACUGAAUCCAUAGGUUAAUGAGGCGAACCGGGGGAACUGAAACAUCUAAGUACCCCGAGGAAAAGAAAUCAACCGAGAUUCCCCCAGUAGCGGCGAGCGAACGGGGAGGAGCCCAGAGCCUGAAUCAGUGUGUGUGUUAGUGGAAGCGUCUGGAAAGGCGCGCGAUACAGGGUGACAGCCCCGUACACAAAAAUGCACAUGCUGUGAGCUCGAUGAGUAGGGCGGGACACGUGGUAUCCUGUCUGAAUAUGGGGGGACCAUCCUCCAAGGCUAAAUACUCCUGACUGACCGAUAGUGAACCAGUACCGUGAGGGAAAGGCGAAAAGAACCCCGGCGAGGGGAGUGAAAAAGAACCUGAAACCGUGUACGUACAAGCAGUGGGAGCACGCUUCGGCGUGUGACUGCGUACCUUUUGUAUAAUGGGUCAGCGACUUAUAUUCUGUAGCAAGGUUAACCGAAUAGGGGAGCCGAAGGGAAACCGAGUCUUAACUGGGCGUUAAGUUGCAGGGUAUAGACCCGAAACCCGGUGAUCUAGCCAUGGGCAGGUUGAAGGUUGGGUAACACUAACUGGAGGACCGAACCGACUAAUGUUGAAAAAUUAGCGGAUGACUUGUGGCUGGGGGUGAAAGGCCAAUCAAACCGGGAGAUAGCUGGUUCUCCCCGAAAGCUAUUUAGGUAGCGCCUCGUGAAUUCAUCUCCGGGGGUAGAGCACUGUUUCGGCAAGGGGGUCAUCCCGACUUACCAACCCGAUGCAAACUGCGAAUACCGGAGAAUGUUAUCACGGGAGACACACGGCGGGUGCUAACGUCCGUCGUGAAGAGGGAAACAACCCAGACCGCCAGCUAAGGUCCCAAAGUCAUGGUUAAGUGGGAAACGAUGUGGGAAGGCCCAGACAGCCAGGAUGUUGGCUUAGAAGCAGCCAUCAUUUAAAGAAAGCGUAAUAGCUCACUGGUCGAGUCGGCCUGCGCGGAAGAUGUAACGGGGCUAAACCAUGCACCGAAGCUGCGGCAGCGACACUGUGUGUUGUUGGGUAGGGGAGCGUUCUGUAAGCCUGUGAAGGUGUACUGUGAGGUAUGCUGGAGGUAUCAGAAGUGCGAAUGCUGACAUAAGUAACGAUAAAGCGGGUGAAAAGCCCGCUCGCCGGAAGACCAAGGGUUCCUGUCCAACGUUAAUCGGGGCAGGGUGAGUCGACCCCUAAGGCGAGGCCGAAAGGCGUAGUCGAUGGGAAACAGGUUAAUAUUCCUGUACUUGGUGUUACUGCGAAGGGGGGACGGAGAAGGCUAUGUUGGCCGGGCGACGGUUGUCCCGGUUUAAGCGUGUAGGCUGGUUUUCCAGGCAAAUCCGGAAAAUCAAGGCUGAGGCGUGAUGACGAGGCACUACGGUGCUGAAGCAACAAAUGCCCUGCUUCCAGGAAAAGCCUCUAAGCAUCAGGUAACAUCAAAUCGUACCCCAAACCGACACAGGUGGUCAGGUAGAGAAUACCAAGGCGCUUGAGAGAACUCGGGUGAAGGAACUAGGCAAAAUGGUGCCGUAACUUCGGGAGAAGGCACGCUGAUAUGUAGGUGAAGCGACUUGCUCGUGGAGCUGAAAUCAGUCGAAGAUACCAGCUGGCUGCAACUGUUUAUUAAAAACACAGCACUGUGCAAACACGAAAGUGGACGUAUACGGUGUGACGCCUGCCCGGUGCCGGAAGGUUAAUUGAUGGGGUUAGCGCAAGCGAAGCUCUUGAUCGAAGCCCCGGUAAACGGCGGCCGUAACUAUAACGGUCCUAAGGUAGCGAAAUUCCUUGUCGGGUAAGUUCCGACCUGCACGAAUGGCGUAAUGAUGGCCAGGCUGUCUCCACCCGAGACUCAGUGAAAUUGAACUCGCUGUGAAGAUGCAGUGUACCCGCGGCAAGACGGAAAGACCCCGUGAACCUUUACUAUAGCUUGACACUGAACAUUGAGCCUUGAUGUGUAGGAUAGGUGGGAGGCUUUGAAGUGUGGACGCCAGUCUGCAUGGAGCCGACCUUGAAAUACCACCCUUUAAUGUUUGAUGUUCUAACGUUGACCCGUAAUCCGGGUUGCGGACAGUGUCUGGUGGGUAGUUUGACUGGGGCGGUCUCCUCCUAAAGAGUAACGGAGGAGCACGAAGGUUGGCUAAUCCUGGUCGGACAUCAGGAGGUUAGUGCAAUGGCAUAAGCCAGCUUGACUGCGAGCGUGACGGCGCGAGCAGGUGCGAAAGCAGGUCAUAGUGAUCCGGUGGUUCUGAAUGGAAGGGCCAUCGCUCAACGGAUAAAAGGUACUCCGGGGAUAACAGGCUGAUACCGCCCAAGAGUUCAUAUCGACGGCGGUGUUUGGCACCUCGAUGUCGGCUCAUCACAUCCUGGGGCUGAAGUAGGUCCCAAGGGUAUGGCUGUUCGCCAUUUAAAGUGGUACGCGAGCUGGGUUUAGAACGUCGUGAGACAGUUCGGUCCCUAUCUGCCGUGGGCGCUGGAGAAUUGAGGGGGGCUGCUCCUAGUACGAGAGGACCGGAGUGGACGCAUCACUGGUGUUCGGGUUGUCAUGCCAAUGGCACUGCCCGGUAGCUAAAUGCGGAAGAGAUAAGUGCUGAAAGCAUCUAAGCACGAAACUUGCCCCGAGAUGAGUUCUCCCUGACUCCUUGAGAGUCCUGAAGGAACGUUGAAGACGACGACGUUGAUAGGCCGGGUGUGUAAGCGCAGCGAUGCGUUGAGCUAACCGGUACUAAUGAACCGUGAGGCUUAACCU